AACUUUUGAUCAAUCACGUUAGAUUAGCUGAAUGUGUAACUGAUUUAGUAACUUGCACCUGGCAAAUACAUUGUGAUGCACCUAUCCAUUUUUGCCUCUGCUGAAAUUAUUGACAAGAGCCGUAUUACUUUGUAAUGGUGUUAUGGCAAUGCAUGACUAGGAUUAGUUUCAAAACCAAAAGGCAAAAGAUAUGUAAGUCUCCAGGUACCUGGCUAAUCACUUGGGCUGGACAAGAUGCAGAACUGUAACACUGUAUUAUACAGUGGUGGAUUGCCUUUCAGCCUCUGCAUUGGACAGAAUGACAAACUAAAGUUUAACUUUUAAACAUACACUUUUCAAGCAUUCUAAGAUGAAAAUGACCACAGAAAUGCAUUGUCUACUGCUGUUUACUAGGUUGUUGUGAAACCAUAUUUCCAUAGAUCACCCAUCCUGCAAGUUAAAGCCUGAGUUAUAGCAAUGACACUACAACAUCAGCCAAAUGUUGCUUGGGUGAACAGAACUGCCCCAGUGAAGUGAAUAAGCGUACUUACCCUUCUUAAGGUUGCUGGCAUUUACAGUCAUGUUAAAGGCUGUUAUGUUAUAGUCUGUCAUGCUAUAGGCUGUCAUGUUAUAGGCUGUCAUGUUAAAGGCUGUCAUGUUAAAGGCUGUCAUGUUAAAGGCUGUCAUGUUAAAGGCUGUCAUGUUAAAGGCUGUCAUGUUAUAGGCUGUCAUGUUAUAGUCUGUCAUGUUUUAGUCUGUCAAACCAACCCAGAGAGCCGCUGAGGUUUCCAACAGAUUCCGCCCUCCUCCUAGAAAUAGAAACAUUUGAUUAGUUAAUCACCAUGAUGUGUGUGACCAUCAGAAUUAGAUGUUCUUUUCAUUUCCAGUGCUGCAGACAAGGUGAAGGCUUUGGAGGGCAGACCUCAGACUGAGGCGUCACAGAGAAUGAGACAUAAUUAGAUUCAAUCUCUUCUCCCUACACUGUCUAAGGGGAGUUAGAAGCGGUCAGAUUUUGUGACUCGCAUUAAUCAACAAGAUAUAAUAAUGGGAUAUAGUUCCAUUCUUGAUUUAUUUGCUUUACAUUUUUUGCUUUUAUUUAGAUUUGAAUGUCCUGUUUAAGGAUACUUUUCAUGUUUUGUAUGAGCAUUAUUGACAUUUUGACCAGCAAAAAAAGUAAAAACAAAUGUCACGAAUUUGACCAGGCAACAGAAACCCUGUCGUGGAAUGAUUUUGGAUGACCCAUGCUCUUCCUUUUUGCACAAUUCAUUACUUACACAUCACUGUGGUGAUGGUUCCCAGAAGCCUUCAGUUUUAUCUAUGGUGGUGGGUACAUAUGGGUGGUGAGAAAGAGAGUUAUAACAGGUUUGAAAUGUUCAUUAUUUUGACGUUGUUAGGAGAGCGGGGAGCGGGGGCUGUCACCCAGCUGGAGGCAUGGCCAGACCCCAGAACAUUCCAGUCAUCUCUUCAGUCAUCUCUUC
ensembl:lncRNA